CACCAAUGGGUGGUCACUAACAAUCGGUUGAAGACAUUCCUUUCAAUCUUGCCAUGUUUGCGAACUCUUCAACCAAGGUCUCUGUCUGGCACAUGCUCGGGCUGCACCAGGAGGGUGUAGCCAAGGAUCGUAAGCGCAAUGGGUAGAACCACAACAAAAAGAAGGACACGAAGUGCAAGAAUAAUGGCUUGUGUAAUAUCUGCAAAAAUCCUGGCCACUUUGCACUGGACGUGAUUCCAGAGGGUAAGCAUAGUGAUGACUACUCCCACAGCGUGUGUGGCAUGGGCACCAUCAAAGUCCCCUUUACUUAUGGUUGCGGCUGCCAUAGCAGUCUAUUAUGUCCCUGGCAUCAAGAAAUCCUUCUUCUCUGUUGGUAAGGUUGUUGAUUGCAACAUGGAGCUCUUAUGCAAUGCUUGAUUCUGAAGAAUGAGAGUGUUAUUGCUAGUGGGAGGCAUUACGCUGGUCUCUACUGGCUCAAUGUAGAAUUGGAAUUCCCUACUCAACCCUUCUUAAUGUGGGAUCCCAGCAUCCUGUUGACCUCCAGACCUGGCAUCAACAGCUUGGACACACAGGCAUGGUUGAUAGUCUGCACGUCACUUCACAACAGCUGAGGUUUUGUGAGCUGUGUAUUCUUGCAAAGCUGUUUCCCUUCAAGACUAGUGUUGUUGUAAGAGCUAGAGAUUCUAGAGCUCGUCCACUCUAAUGUGUGUAUGAUGCCCGCGAGCAUAAAAUUUACUUUGUGGACAAUUUUUCCCGCA
rnacentral:lncRNA from 1 species